UGAGAGUUCAAACAACAGAAGCCCUAGAGGAGUACAAAAUGUGGAAAAGGAACUUGAAAAGCAGAUCCAUUAAAAGUGAAAGUAUAAUGAAAGAAAGAAUAGUGUCUAUUGAGGCCCACAGCAGCAAUUUGUGCAUGGAACCAAAGGAUUUAGAUGCUGCCAGACCUGCUGAACUUCCAGCAACUUCUGUUUUUUUUCCAGUACAACAAGAAAUACACUCAAUGGCAUUUGUGAACAACAGUCUAUCUAAACUCAUAAAACAACACUAUCUUCACCAAGCUAAAAUCGAACAUUGGAUUAUGGCAAUUUCUGCUAGAUGAGAAAUUCAACUUCUAAAUCUCUUCAUAAUACCUCUUUCAACUGUCUGUCUUUUGGAAUUAUGUCCACACAGGAGAUUUUCCAAAGGAUAAUGUCCAACGUAUUAAAAGAUAGGGAAGGCAUCAUAUGCCUCAUAGAUAAUAGAUAAAGACCAAAAUGGCAAAAAGAGACUUGAGAAAGGUUGUCACAUAAUGACAAAAAUUAAUUUUCAAAGCCAACUAUUAAAAUUUUGGGCCACACAUGCAUACAACAGGGAUCACUGGGAUUCCACAGAAGAUGAAAGCUAUUGUGGAAUUUCCAGCGACCAGGAAUAUUUCAAUAUUAUAGUGAUUCGUGGGUAAAGUGAAUCUGUGGGAAAAUUCUUACCUAACUUAGACCAUGCAAAUGAAACUUUAACAGAACCAUUGAAACAAGAUCAGAGGUCGUAUUAGCCUGAGCAUCAAUAAAAAUCAUUUCACCAAAUCAACGUUUAUAUUGUUGGAGGUCCUAGCAAAUAAUGAUCCUGAACUUCUACUAUAGCAGCAGAAACAAUAUCCACAGGAGCACCCUUAUUUCAGAUUCAGGGUGAUGGAAUAAGACCUGUCUGGAACACUUCAGGGGCUCUCAUUAAAACUGAACAAUGGAAGGGUGUAAUUGAGAAAGAAGCGUUUGCAAUAACUUAGGUGUUGGAGAAAUUUUCUGAGUAUCUUUUAAUUAAGAUUGAAAUUGACUACAAACUAUGGUAAAUUUAUCGAAUAAAGCAAGAACACAAAGGUGCCAUCCAGACUUCAGAGUUUAAUUGCAACUGAUGCAGUAUAAAUCUAUUAGAAGUCUGAUGUUCAUACUCUAUCAAGGAUGCUCGCUAACUGCCCAGAAAAAAAAUGGAAAUUUUGUCCAAUAAGUUGAAAUAAUCACAGUCUUAAUGGUCUUACCUUCU